rnacentral:rRNA from 1 species
GUGGGGAAUAUUGCACAAUGGGGGAAACCCUGAUGCAGCGACGCCGCGUGAGUGAAGAAGUAUUUCGGUACGUAAAGCUCUAUCAGCAAGGAAGAAAAUGACGGUACUUGACUAAGAAGCCCCGGCUAACUACGUGCCAGCAGCCGCGGUAAUACAUAGGGGGCAAGCGUUAUCCGGAUUUACUGGGUGUAAAGGGAGCGUAGACGGUAUGGUAAGUCAGAUGUGAAAGCCCGGGGCUCAACCCCGGGACUGCAUUUGAAACUAUCAGACUAGAGUGCAGGAGAGGUAAGUGGAAUUCCUAGUGUAGCGGUGAAAUGCGUAGAUAUUAGGAGGAACACCAGUGGCGAAGGCGGCUUACUGGACUGUAACUGACGUUGAGGCUCGAAAGCGUGGGGAGCAAACAGGAUUAGAAACCCGGGUAGUCC